rnacentral:piRNA from 1 species
UGUGAUAUUUGACUGAGAUGAUUAUGC